GCCCAGCUGGCUCAGUCGGUGGAGCAAGGGACUCUUGGAUCUCAGGAGUGUGAGUUUGAGCCCCACGUUGGGCA
rnacentral:tRNA from 1 species